rnacentral:rRNA from 1 species
AACGAACGCUGGCGGCGUGGAUAAGACAUGCAAGUCGAACGGGACAGACCGAGUAGCAAUAUUUGGAGUGUUCAGUGGCGAACGGGUGCGUAACACGUGGAUAACAUUCCGGAAAGCGGGGAAUAGCCCAGGGAAACUUGGAUUAAUACUGCAUGUGACCGCAAGGCUAAAGACGGGGACCGCAAGGCCUGUCACUUUCCGAUUGGUCCGCGGCCUAUCAGCUAGUUGGCGGGGUAAUGGCCCACCAAGGCUACGACGGGUAGCUGGUCUUAGAGGACGACCAGCCACACUGGAACUGAGACACGGUCCAGACACCUACGGGUGGCAGCAGUCGAGAAUCUUUCACAAUGGGGGCAACCCUGAUGGAGCGACGCCGCGUGGAGGAUAAGGUCUUCGGAUUGUAAACUCCUGUCAUGCGCGAACAAGGUACUCAGGCUAAUAACCUGAUUGUUUGAUGGUACCGCAAGAGGAAGAGACGGCUAACUCUGUGCCAGCAGCCGCCGUAAAAC